rnacentral:rRNA from 1 species
UGGGGAAUAUUGCACAAUGGGCGAAAGCCUGAUGCAGCGACGCCGCGUGAGGGAUGACGGCCUUCGGGUUGUAAACCUCUUUCAGCUCCGACGAAGCGAAAGUGACGGUAGGAGCAGAAGAAGCACCGGCCAACUACGUGCCAGCAGCCGCGGUAAUACGUAGGGUGCAAGCGUUGUCCGGAAUUAUUGGGCGUAAAGAGCUCGUAGGCGGCUUGUCGCGUCGGCUGUGAAAACCUGGGGCUCAACCCCGGGCCUGCAGCCGAUACGGGCAAGCUAGAAUUCGGUAGGGGAGACUGGAAUUCCUGGUGUAGCGGUGAAAUGCGCAGAUAUCAGGAGGAACACCGGUGGCGAAGGCGGGUCUCUGGGCCGAUAUUGACGCUGAGGAGCGAAAGCGUGGGGGAGCGAACAGGAUUAGAUACCCUGGUAGUUCACGCCGUAAACGUUGGGCGCUAGGUGUGGGCUCCAUUCCACGGAGUCUGUGCCGUAGCUAACGCAUUAAGCGCCCCGCCUGGGGA